AUCAUCAACUUAGAACCCUCUAACUCUUUGGUGAUCUUUUUGGCCAUAAAACUUGAAAGAAAAUCACACCUCAAGCGGCUAAACUCCAAACAAAACCCAAAAAUCAGUGAGUUAGAAGAGAUUCGAGAGAGAAUCAUCAUAUUUGGAGGAGUGAUUAUGUUAAUUAUUUAUAAGGGAUUUGCUCUUAUGUUUGCAACCAAGAAUCUCCAACUUCCGUUCAUACAAGUAUACUGUUACUUAUGGCUACGGAGUCACAAGCAUUUUGGAAUGGGCGGUUUCGGAAAAGAGAUUCUAUUUGGCCUUUACACAAAGGGUUCCAUAUUUAAGGUACGUUUAAGAUGUCUAGUGGAGUUACUAAACGUGAUCCAGCUUGGGAACAUGGAGACCCAAUAGACGGAAACAAAUAUGGCACAAUUUGCAAAUAUUGUGGUUGGGUAAUGAAGAGUGGUGGAGUGACGCAACUUAAGUACCAUCUUAGUGGAUUAGAUCCAGGAAAUAAUGUCCAACGAUGCGAUAAUGUCCCCCAUGAAGUGAAGGCAUUCAUCACCACAUUAUUAAAAAAUAAACAACACCAGAAGGAAAAAAAACAUAUGGAAUGGAAAAUAUUCGAGCUGGGCUACGAGGAGAAGUCAUUGGCCAAGCAGUUGAAAGUGAUGAUGAUGACAAUGAGGACGAAUGUAAUGAUGACAUGGGACCUGAAGAGCGACACAAUUUCAAACAAGCAUUACGUGCCUCCAAACAGUCAGCAUGGGAAAGAGAACACCUCCAUAAACUUCCUAAUAGAGCACAAGGUUCUGGGGCAAGUGGUGGUGCACAAAUGAGACGGGGAGCAAGUGUUAGAGAAUCACAACCAACACCACCAAUAGCCCCCAGUUUAUAUAAGUCAUCCAAAGCACGUCAAAAGAGUGUUUGGAGUUAUUUCGCUGGAGGUAAUGUGAAGGAGGGAAUGGGGCGUCUAAUUAGCAAGUUAUUUAUUUAUAACAAUGUCCCUGCUGAGAAGGCAUCAUCACAUCAUUUCAAAAAUAUGGUAUUGGGAUGUCAACAGGUCGGUGUUGGAGUACAACCUCCCACUCCCUAUGAGGUAAGAAACAAAUAUUUGGAAAUGGAGUAUAAAGACAUUAGUGAGUAUGUUAACAAGUUGAGGUCAAAGUGGGAAACUAAUGGUUGCACAAUCAUGUGUGACGGAUGGACUGGCCCGACCAGAUUGUCUAUCAUAAACUUCAUGGUAUACUCCAAGG